UACGAAGGGGGGCUAGCGUUGUUCGGAAUUACUGGGCGUAAAGCGUGCGCAGGCGGUUCGUUAAGUUCGAUGUGAAAUCCCCGGGCUCAACCUGGGAAUGGCGAUGAAGACUGCAAGGCUAGAAUCUGGCAGAGGGGGGUAGAAUUCCACGUGUGAGCAGUGAAAUGCGUAGAGAUGUGGAGGAACACCGAUGGCGAAGGCAGCCCCCUGGGUCAAGAUUGACGCUCAUGCACGAAAGCGUGGGGAGCAAACAGG
rnacentral:rRNA from 1 species